rnacentral:lncRNA from 1 species
GAAUUCUAUGUCUGGCAAAAAUACCCCUCAGGAAUGAAGGGGAAAUUAAAACAUUCUCAAACGAAGGAAAACUAAAAGGAUUUGUUGCUGGCAGACCUACCCUAAAAGAAUGGCUAAAGAAAGUUCUCUUAACAGAAAAGAAAUGAUAAAGAAGGAAUCUUAAGACAUCAGCGAAGAAGUAAAAACACCAAAAAGAGUAAAAAACAUGGGGGGAAAUGCAAUAGACUUUCCUUAUCCUCUUGUAUUUUCUAAAUUUUUUGAUAGCAAAAAAUUAUAACCUUGUCUAAUAUGGUUUUCAGUAUAUGUACAGGAAACACUAAGAUAAUUGUGUUAUAAAUGGAACAGAGUAAAAG